rnacentral:rRNA from 1 species
GCUUAGCGUUGCGCGGGCAGUGGGUACGGGCUGACUAGAGUGCAGUAGGGGAGUCUGGAAUUCCUGGUGUAGCGGUGAAAUGCGCAGAUAUCAGGAGGAACACCGGUGGCGAAGGCGGGACUCUGGGCUGUGACUGACACUGAGGAGCGAAAGCAUGGGGAGCGAACAGGAUUAGAUACCCUGGUAGUCCAUGCCGUAAACGUUGGGCACUAGGUGUGGGGGACAUUCCACGUUUUCCGCGCCGUAGCUAACGCAUUAAGUGCCCCGCCUGGGGAGUACGGUCGCAAGGCUAAAACUCAAAGGAAUUGACGGGGGCCCGCACAAGCGGCGGAGCAUGCGGAUUAAUUCGAUGCAACGCGAAGAACCUUACCAAGGCUUGACAUACACCGGACACGCUUAGAAACAGGUGCUCCCUUUGGGGCUGGUGUACAGGUGGUGCAUGGUUGUCGUCAGCUCGUGUCGUGAGAUGUUGGGUUAAGUCCCGCAACGAGCGCAACCCUCGUUCUAUGUUGCCAGCACGUGAUGGUGGGAACUCAUAGGAGACUGCCGGGGUCAACUCGGAGGAAGGUGGGGAUGACGUCAAAUCAUCAUGCCCUUUAUGUCUUGGGCUUCACGCAUGCUACAAUGGCCGGUACAGAG